GUAUGCUCAUAGCUUUUGUCCUCUUCACUUUGCACUUCAAUUUCUAACUCCUCUUUUACCCUCCUUAUAAUCCCCCCAACUAACAAAUCAUUCCCUUCAUCAUCACACACUCAAUUUUCCUCUCAUCCCCCUAAAAGAAGGGCGAAAGUCUUGGGGGAUAAAAUAAAAAAAGAAAAAAAAUCAAGAAAUCAAAGAGGGAGCUUUGUAUUUGUGGGGAAUGUUGUCUGGCUCGACGAAUCUUCAAUCUUGAUCAAAUUUUUACACAGAUCUAUCAUUAUACAUGCUUUUAUAAAUUCUCUUUUUUUGUGUAGAUCUAUGAAUUUCGGUCAGGUUUUUGGAUGUCGUCGGACCAGGCUUCAUUCCCCUCAAAGAUUGCUACCAUAUAAUUAAUUUUAUAAUUUGAUAUCUCUUUUGGCAUAUACAAAGGUUUCUGCAGAUUGGUGUAAUGAUAAGGAUCUUGACUUUAGUGUUUUUUUCGUUCUGUUUCUCAUUUUCUUCAUCAUUACAACCUUUUAUGAUACUAUGUCGUUUAUUUUGUCAGUAAAUAAGAGAUAUACUUUUGUUCAUCAUUA